AUACGAAGGGGGCUAGCGUUGUUCGGAAUUACUGGGCGUAAAGCGCGCGUAGGCGGAUUGGUCAGUUAGGGGUGAAAUCCCAGGGCUUAACCCUGGAACUGCCUCUAAUACUGCCAGUCUUGAGUUCGGGAGAGGUGAGUGGAAUUCCUAGUGUAGAGGUGAAAUUCGUAGAUAUUAGGAAGAACACCAGUGGCGAAGGCGGCUCACUGGCCCGACACUGACGCUGAUGCGCGAAAGCGUGGGGAGCAAACAGGAUUAGAUACCCUAGUAGUCC
rnacentral:rRNA from 1 species